GCUGCACAUCAUCCACGUCUCAAACAGGGUGGCAACGUAGCAGCGCAACAACCGAGACCGCGACACCGGACGCGCACUUAACCCCGCGACGAGGAUGGGCUGGCUAGCAAUAAAAAUGAACAUAUACAAAGUGCUCUGCGAAAAUUGUAUCUGGGGAGCACAGGAAGUUCCCUGUCUGCGAGGCGCCAAAAAUGGCGCACAAAAAUUUGGAUAAGAAAGAAGCGGAGGAGGGCAUGCCUGCCUGAAGCUUACGUAAGUGCAAAAAGCACAAACAGAGAGUGGGCGUGCGAAAGAGCCGGCACGAAACUUGCAAAACUUGUCGCCAAGGAAAUAGGGUGUCUCUGCUCUCUCUCUAUAUCACUCUCUCUCGAAUUACCUAGCAUUACAAUUGUAAUACAAUGGCGUGGAAUCGGAAUGCAGACACCCUGUGUCCUCUCUUUACAAGAGAGCGAACACCCACACACAUACAUAUAUAAUUGUGUGUACUGAGAUACUAUAUUGCAGUACAUAAUGAAAUCGAGAAAACUGAAAAUCAGAAACUAGCUACAACUCUGCCACGGCUACACUUUGAGGAAAGGAAGCGCAGGUGCAUCUAUCUCACCAUGACAAUUAGACCCCCGAUACUAUCGAUUGAUGAAGAUGAAGAGAUAUGAGCUCCCAAAAAAAAAAACACAUGUUUCCAUGAGAGGAGAGGAGAGCCAGGGCACCCAAAAAAAAACAAAAAAAAAAAUCUGUAUACGCAGAAAGCUUAGCUGCCGUGGAAGGGGCUAGCUAGAUGGCUGGUGGCAUGGAAAUGGAAACCUUGCAGUUAUCGAUUCGUCUCGCUCAUUGCGCAAUGAAAUGCAGCGGGGGCGGUCAGACACCGACAGCGACACCGACACCCGAGCGCCUAGAGAGUUGAGAGCGAGCCAACAGAGAGCCGAGGUACACCUGCAUCGGGCGGCGAUAGGAAAUGAAAUGCAAAUCGCAAGAGUGCCCAGCCAAACUCAUCAUCUUCCAGCCUCAAAGUUCAAAGUUCAGCAUGCAACUUGCAGUGUGCAGCGCAUGUCCGCAUUGGUGCACAACCAAGUCCCGGUUAAGUUUCCAGCUUUGUUGCACAGGAAGGUUUGUUUGCAUUUCCAAUGGUAUGGCUUGGCAAGGACAGGACUGGACACAGGAGGCCUAUUCGUCCUAACAGAUACCAAAGAUCAUGGCUUUGCCUUAGAAAGAAUCAGAAGAUGUUCUCAAAGAAUAUAAAAUGUCUAAUUAAUGUCUAAUUAGUUGCUGAAUUUUUGUGUUAGUUAAUCAAAGUCAUGUGUCAGGAAAUAGGAAAUAGUAUCUGUUAGCUAAGCUACUGAAAUAGUCAAGGGUUUAGUCAUUAAAUUGUUAGAAACUAGUAGAGAUUUAAGGUCAUUAUAGAUGCCUCACAUCCUAGUUAUCUCAUUGAACUGAGAAACUCUUCGAAAAUCUUGUAGAAAAAGACACUGAUCAAGUUCAAGACUUGCUCGAAGGCCUCUGGCAGCAAAAAAAUAUUGCAAAUUGCGAAAAAAGAAAAGAUUGGAUGGCGACGCGACAAGUGUUUCGCUUCACGGGAGAAAGAUCACAUCAAGAGAGUAGAGUUGGAAUAUCGAGGUUUGGACUUCCAAAACAAAUACCGAGAAAUGUGUCGGUGUGUUUGGGGAGAGUUCGGAUCAGAAAUGAAGUGUGCUGCCUGCCUGCCUGCCGUGCGGCCGCCUGGUAACUUGUU
rnacentral:sRNA from 1 species